CGAACGCUGGCGGCGCGCCUAACACAUGCAAGUCGAACGGAGCUGAGAGAAGCUUGCUUUUCUUAGCUUAGUGGCGAACGGGUGAGUAACGCGUGAGUAACCUGCCCUGGAGUGGGGGACAACAGUUGGAAACGACUGCUAAUACCGCAUAAGCCCACGAUCCGGCAUCGGAUUGAGGGAAAAGGAUUUAUUCGCUUCAGGAUGGACUCGCGUCCAAUUAGCUAGUUGGUGAGGUAACGGCCCACCAAGGCGACGAUUGGUAGCCGGACUGAGAGGUUGAACGGCCACAUUGGGACUGAGACACGGCCCAGACUCCUACGGGAGGCAGCAGUGGGGGAUAUUGCACAAUGGGGGAAACCCUGAUGCAGCGACGCCGCGUGGAGGAAGAAGGUUUUCGGAUUGUAAACUCCUGUCGUUAGGGACGAUAAUGACGGUACCUAACAAGAAAGCACCGGCUAACUACGUG
rnacentral:rRNA from 1 species